rnacentral:rRNA from 1 species
CAAUAGCGUAUAUUAAAGUUGUUGCGGUUAAAACGCUCGUAGUUGGAUCUGCGGCCGAGGAGAACGGUCCCCCGAAAGGGCGGUCACUGUCUCUCCUAGCCUAAAUUCGAGUCGUCUCUAGGUGCCCUUUACUGGGUGCCUAGAGUGACUAGAACGUUUACUUUGAAAAAAUUAGAGUGCUUAAAGCAGGCGAAAUAGCCUGAAUAAGGUGCAUGGAAUAAUGGAAUAGGACCUCGGUUCUAUUUUGUUGGUUUUCGGAACCUGAGGUAAUGAUUAAGAGGAACAGACGGGGGCAUUCGUAUUCCGGCGCUAGAGGUGAAAUUCUUGGACCGCCGGAAGACGGACAACUG